UCCUACGGGAGGCAGCAGUGGGGAAUUUUCCGCAAUGGGCGAAAGCCUGACGGAGCAAUACCGCGUGAGGGAGGAAGGCUCUUGGGUUGUAAACCUCUUUUCUCAAGGAAGAAAAAAAUGACGGUACUUGAGGAAUAAGCAUCGGCUAACUCCGUGCCAGCAGCCGCGGUAAUACGGAGGAUGCAAGCGUUAUCCGGAAUGAUUGGGCGUAAAGCGUCCGCAGGUGGCUGUGAAAGUCUGCUGUUAAAGAAUGAGGCUCAACCUCAUACAAGCAGUGGAAACUACACGGCUAGAGUGCGUUCGGGGUAGAGGGAAUUCCUGGUGUAGCGGUGAAAUGCGUAGAUAUCAGGAAGAACACCGGUGGCGAAGGCGCUCUACUAGGCCGCAACUGACACUGAGGGACGAAAGCUAGGGGAGCGAAUGGGAUUAGAUACCCCAGUAGUCCUAGCCGUAAACGAUGGAUACUAGGCGUGGCUUGUAUCGACCCGAGCCGUGCCGUAGCUAACGCGUUAAGUAUCCCGCCUGGGGAGUACGCACGCAAGUGUGAAACUCAAAGGAAUUGACGGGGGCCCGCACAAGCGGUGGAGUAUGUGGUUUAAUUCGAUGCAACGCGAAGAACCUUACCAAGACUUGACAUGUCGCGAAUUCCUCUGAAAGGAGGAAGUGCCUUCGGGAACGCGAACACGAGGUGGUGCAUGGCUGUCGUCAGCUCGUGUCGUGAGAUGUUGGGUUAAGUCCCGCAACGAGCGCAACCCUCGUUUUUAGUUGCCAGCAUUCAGUUGGGCACUCUAAAGAGACUGCCGGUGACAAACCGGAGGAAGGUGGGGAUGACGUCAAGUCAGCAUGCCCCUUACGUCUUGGGCUACACACGUACUACAAUGCUACGGACAAAGGGCAGCUACACAGCGAUGUGAUGCAAAUCCAAAAAACCGUAGCUCAGUUCAGAUCGCAGGCUGCAACUCGCCUGCGUGAAGGAGGAAUCGCUAGUAAUUGCAGGUCAGCAUACUGCAGUGAAUUCGUUCCCGGGCCUUGUACACACCGCCCGUCACACCAUGGAAGCUGGUCACGCCCGAAGUCAUUACCCCAACUUUUCGGAGAGGGGGAUGCCUAAGGCAGGACUGGUGACUGGGGUGAAGUCGUAACAAGGUAGCCGUACCGGAAGGUGUGGCUGGAUCACCUCCUUUUUAGGGAGACCUACACCCCUCAAAACUCGAAAGCAAAAUGCCAAUAGAGAUUGAGUUGGUCUAACCUGGUCGGUCGAGAUUGGUAAAAGCUUUCAAAGUAUUUCUGGUUCAUUUCAUCAUAGUUAUAACAAAUUGAAUCGAGCAGAAAAAAUUCAGCAAACAUGGCUUAAUGCCAGACUGCUGGGUAUAGUCUCAGCCAGAACCUUGAAAACUGCAUAGUAACGCGAAAUUAGCAAGGCAGACGCAGACAUUCAGUUGAAUGAUUGUGUUUGCAAAGGUGAAACACCAAAUGUUAAGUUGGUCAAGCUAAUAAGGGCUAACGGUUGGAUACCUAGGC
rnacentral:misc_RNA from 1 species